rnacentral:rRNA from 1 species
GAUGAACGCUGGCGGCGUGCCUAAUACAUGCAAGUCGAGCGAACAGAUGAGGAGCUUGCUCCUCUGACGUUAGCGGCGGACGGGUGAGUAACACGUGGAUAACCUACCUAUAAGACUGGGAUAACUUCGGGAAACCGGAGCUAAUACCGGAUAAUAUAUUGAACCGCAUGGUUCAAUAGUGAAAGACGGUUUUGCUGUCACUUAUAGAUGGAUCCGCGCCGGAUUAGCUAGGUGGUAAGGUAACGGCCUACCAAGGCAACGAUGCGUAGCCGACCCGAGAGGGUGAUCCGCCACACUGGAACUGAGACACGGGCCCCACUCCCACGGGGGGGCGCAGUGGGGAAAUUUUGCCAAAGGGGGGAAACCCUGACCAGGCAACCCCGGUGGGUUGAGAAAGGCUUUGGGUUUGAAAACCUUUUUUUUUGGGAAAAAAAAAAGGAGGAAAAUACCCUGCUCUUCUUACGGUACCCUAAGAAAAAACCCCGGCUAACUUCGUG